UGAGUAAAGCGGCGCACGGGUGAGUAACACGUAGGUAACCUGCCCCAUAGUCGGGAAUAACCCGGGGAAACUCGGGCUAAUGCCGGAUGAGACCACAGCCGUUUCGACGGCAGCGGCCAAAGGCGGCCUCUACAUGUAAGCUGUCGCUAUGGGAUGGGCCUGCGGCCCAUUAGCUUGUUGGUGAGGUAACGGCUCACCAAGGCUGUGAUGGGUAGCUGGUUUUAGAGGAUGAUCAGCAACACUGGGACUGAGACACGGCCCAGACUCCUACGGGAGGCAGCAGUGGGGAAUCUUGGACAAUGGGCGCAAGCCUGAUCCAGCCAUGCCGCGUGAGUGAUGAAGGCCUUAGGGUCGUAAAGCUCCUUCGCCAGAGAUGAUAAUGACAGUAUCUGGUAAAGAAACCCCGGCUAACUCCGUGCCAGCAGCCGCGGUAAUACGGAGGGGGUUAGCGUUGUUCGGAAUUACUGGGCGUAAAGCGUAC
rnacentral:rRNA from 1 species